rnacentral:lncRNA from 1 species
CAGCGCACCAGACUCAUGCAUGCUUCCAUGGGUCACCUGACUUCCCAAACUAUCAGCUUUGCAAGAGACAUGGGGAUUUACUAAGCGUGCAACCCUAGUGAGGAUUCAAUCCUACAUGCUCCUGGGUGAGGUCUAGUUGAGGGCACAACCAGCAUAAUAUGCACUGAUUCGGGGAUGAUCUCCCAUUUUAAACUGCAAGUCCAGUUUCAGGAAGACGUGGCCUGACAUAAGCCCUAGAGCUGACAUUAACUAACUUUUUUUUUUUUUUUUUUUUUGAGACAAAAAUCUCGCUCUGUAGCCCAGGAGGCAGAGGUUGCAGUGACCCGAGAUCACAUCACUGCACUCCAGCAUGGGUGACAGAGCAAGACUCUGUCUCAAAAAGAAAAAAAAAAAAAAAAA